rnacentral:rRNA from 1 species
AGUUCGGAUUGAAGGCUGAAAUUCGCCUUCAUGAAGCCGGAAUUGCUAGUAAUGGCAGGUCAGCAUACUGCCGUGAAUACGUUCCCGGGCCUUGUACACACCGCCCGUCACACCAUGAGAGUUGUGAAUACCCGAAGCCUGUGAGCUAACGAAAGAGGCAGCAGUCGAAGGUAGAAUCAAUGAUUGGGGUGAAGUCGUAACAAGGUAUC